CCAAUGUGGAAACCAGAUCGGAGCCAAGUUCUGGGAAGUGAUCUGCGACGAGCACGACGUUGACCACACCGGCCAAUACGUCGGCGACUCUCCCCUCCAGCUCGAACGUAUCGAUGUCUACUUCAACGAAUUCUCGAUGUUGUGAGGAAGGAAGCUGAGAACAAAGAUUGCCUACAAGGUUUCCAGUUUUGUCAUUCGUUGGGAGGAGGAACUAGAUCUGGGAUGGGAACGCUUUUGAUCUCUAAGAUUAGGGAGGAGUAUCCAGAAUGUGGUUUGUACGAUCAAAGAAUUAAAUAUUUAUAACUCUUUAUAAAAGUUGCAGAGUUGGCUUCUUUA